rnacentral:sRNA from 1 species
GAAGGAGUGAAGCAUUGCAUCAGGCCUAACUUAAUAACCCAAGAAUCUCUCUGUGCCUACUUGGUAAUUUCUUUCUUUCAGUGUAACAGAUGACAUUAAAGACAGAGAGGACUUUGUGACAUCAGAGCUUACAAGCCUUUGCUUGCUGUUGCACCAACGGAGCCCCAGGAGUGGCCUCCGUGGAUCAAUCAAAAUUAUUGUUUUCUAAUUAGUGGGCUAUAUUAUGACUACAAGAAGAAUCGAGUGAACCAUGAUUCCCAGCCAAUCAGCCUACGUCAACCAAAAAGACUUUUGCAAAAAGCUAUAUAGAUUUUAUGUAAAUUUGGUAUUUCCGAGCACCAAACUUUUAGCACUGACAUCUGCCUGAGAAGAAACUUCAUUUACAGCAGUGGCAGAGAUGAAGUUCACUGUGAACUACUUUUGAAGACCAUAUGCUUUAACAAGCUGAGGAAGAGGGGAAAAGAAGCUCUUUAAAAACAGCUCUUUCUUGGUCUCACUGUGGAUGAUGCUGCGUGACAACAUUGUGACAUCAUAGCUUACGAGCCUUUGCUCGCUGUUGCACCAACGGAGCCCCAGGGAGUGUAACAGCACCUUGGAAGUCUAUGGUGCUUCCCUUCCCUGGAAUGUAAGGCAUUUCACAGGCAUUUUCUCUCUAAACCUCACAACAUCUCUCUAAGCCACUGACCAGAUGAAGAGAUGAGGAGCUUCGGAAUUACAGAAGAAAAUACAGAAGACACAAGGUGCAACUACAAACAUGAACCAUAACGAUGUAACAAAUGAAAAAUCCUCACCUGUGUCACGUUUUAGCCUGGAUGUUGCAAAAGAGCACCAAUUAAAGAGAAGACUAAAAGUUGUGCCUAGAAGAUGAAAUAUUUCACAAUAAUUUAUCAAGGGGUAUUUUCUGCUUAUUUUACCUUCCCACCUCACGGGCGCCGAGCUGACCCGACACCCAGCUCAUUACCACAGCUGCUUUGCAUCUGAAUGACAAGAACUGUAGGAUGGACGCCAAAUGAGUUUUUACAAACCUGGACUUUCUUUUAAUGAACCAGACUAUGAGUACUUCUUAAAGACUCCAGGAGACAGCACCAACACCUCUGCCCACUUAUAAACUUAGGCAUAUGGAACCCGAGACAUUUCUGCUCCUUCUCUCCAUGGCUGGCCCAACUGCACACAUUUUCUACUGAAUGUGCAUCAGGGUUGCUUCCAAUUGAGUCCCUGCAUUUGGAAACCAUCUUUCUUGUCCAGAAAAGUACUUUUACAAACUGGCUCACUGCUAGUACAUGUCUCUUUGAAUUACCAUUUCAUUGUUUAAGAGCAGGUCCCCUCUAAGCAUGAGAGGGGGAGUUCUUUAUUCUUUUGCUAAAUUGGUCAGCCAAAGAACAGCUUUUGGUGAAUAAAAGAUAUUCUCAUUUUAGCAAAUGAAGGGAAGUUCUAUUCCCUGCCGUCCAAUGCAAAAUGUUGUUAUUCCUUAAAAAUGUUCUAAGUCCUGGAAACCGUUCAGAACACACCACAGAACCCAGUUCCUCCCCACAUUCAAAAUGUUUACAUUCUAAAAAUGACAAGAGAGGGAAGGUUGGGAAGGUAGCUAGAUCCGGAGCAGAUGGGUGCAUAUGCCCUCUCUCCUCACCAACUGCGGUCCUAUGGAUGGCUCAACAGUUAAUGUAGAUUUCUCUUCACGGAGUUUUAUAAGUAACUCUGCUGAGCACAGCCAAAUGACUUGAAAUGUGAGGAUGCACCGCCUCUUUGCUGUGCCCUGCUGCUCAAGUGUUCUCAGCUUUGACAAUUUAUCGUGCUGGAAAAUGUCUUCAGAAUGUCAGUCACUUUAGCUCCAUGCUUGCCAUUUGCAUGUGGCACACCUGCUGCUAUGGUGGCUCGUGCUCUAUUGUUAUUUUCCGUGGGGGCGGGGAAGGUAAAAUGUUCCAUUUGCAGACUUGGAGUUUAGUUCCAGCGAAGUUUAGAAGAAGUUUCUCGGAGUCCAGCUGUUCCUCCGAUAUCAAUGUGGCAUACGGAUGAGCACUGGCUGGGUAUCUGGAGAAAAAAGGUGGAAACAGAAGUCCUGUCCUUAAGGGAUUAGCGGUACAGAGGCAAACAUCAUCACAUCAACUCACCAAGAAGUAAGGCGGAGCUGUCCAUUUAACCCCAAAUAAUUAAAAAGACAGGUUAAUACUGGAAAACAAGAACAAGAAGGAAAACCAUAAACUGUGCCCUGUAUCCCUCUUUACCCUUUGUCGUUCAGUGAGCACACAAUAUUUUGUUUCAAUGAGUAUGCAGUUACUUGUUUAAUUAAAAAUAAUAAAAUAAUUUUAUGUAACAUUGUGUUGGCGGUAACCAGCUGUAAUAAACUGUCCGUGUUCAAAGUAGAUGAAUGAAUAAAGCAUUUGUUACUUGACAGGAGGGAAUCCAGAGGACAGUGUUUCCCUCCCUGAGGUCAUUCAGCUGUAUGCUAUGCGUCUCUGCAGCACCCUGAGGUGCUCACGAGGCAAAAUGGGAAAAGGAAAAGUUAUUUCUAACCUCGGGUGUUUUUCAUGCCUUUCAAAGUCUUCUAAUAUCAGGAAAGGUGAAACAUGUACUUUUGAUCCAGCCUCAACAGUUAUUACCAACCUGGCUUAUUCUUUCCCUAUGAUUUUGUUUUGAACUAGGAUCUUCAAGCGCACAUCAUGUUUGGUAGUCUUUAAGCCAGCUGUUUUAUCAUCAAAGUAAAGCCACAAGACUUUUAUCACAUGUCAAAUGCUAGCAGCUUUGUAGACUUUCUCAUGAAGAACUAUGUGCUCAAUUUUCCUUAACCAGCUAAAUGAAAAUAUUUCAGUCUAUGAUAGAGUGAAUAAAAAUGGUCCACAUAGGGUCAUAUGUUUGAGUGCUUUGUCCCUAAGUUAGCUUGGGAAGGAAUAGAGAUCCGGUCUUGUUGGAGGAGGUGUGUUAUGCUUUGAGGUUCCAAUGCCCAUGUAUAUCCCCACCUCCCUGUCUCCCUUUCCCUGUCUCUGUCUGCUUCCUGUUGUGGAUCAGGAUGUGAGCUCUCAGUUACUCCAGCAGUACUAUGCAUGCAUCCCGCUGUGCUUCCUGCCAAGAUGAUGAGGGGCUCAUCCUCUGAAAACAAUAAGCAAGCACCCAACUAAAUGUUUCUUUUUAAAACUAAGUUUCUUUACAUAUUGUGUCUUAUCAUAGCAAUAGGACAGUAACUAAGACACAGUUCGUGCAAUAUUUUUGUUUGUUAUAUUUCUUGAAACAUCUUUUAACCUAUGAAAAUCCCUUCUCAUUCAUAAUUGUUGAAGAAACUAGUUUUUAUUUUUUGAACGAAUUCAGAUGCCUUUGCACUGAAGAAGCAGGCCUAUCUCUAGAAAGUAAACAGUCAGAAUCUACGUGAGAUCAUGACUAUUAGCUUCUCAGUUUGUGACCACUAACCAGCUGACUUUAUUAAUAUAAACUUUCUUUGAUGGCACUCUGACCACUUUUUUUACAAUUUAUAUUAAACCUGAAAAUAGGAGAUUAAAUGUAAAUAAUGUAAAUGACAAUUAAAAAAUCUGUAUUUCUACAUUGUGUACAAGUCCAUUAUGACCUAUAUAUGACCUCAACAUGUCACUGCCCUCUGCCUCAAUGGCUUGUCAUGACGCUGUCCCCAGGACCCAUCUGUAUGUGUUAAAGAACUGUUGUACAAUAAAAAAAAAUAAUAAAAAAAAGAACUCUUGACACCAAAGUUUUUUUCAGUGUCGUAAAUUUCUUUGUGGUAAGUGUAUAAUUAUGAUGUAAACAUAGAAG